AAUACAAAAAAUUAGCUGGGCAUGGUGGUGCAUGCCUGUAGUCCCAGCCACUCUGGAGGUUGGGGCAAGAUAAUUGCUUGAACCAGGGAGGUGGAGGUUGCAGUGAGCUGAGAUCGCACCAUUGCACUCCAGCCUAGGCGACAGAGCAAAACUCCAUCUCAAAAA